GCGAUCAUACCAGCACUAAUGCACCGGAUCCCAUCAGAACUCCGCAGGUAAACGUGCUUGGGCGAGAGUAGUACUAGGAUGGGUGACCUCCUGGGAAGUCCUCGUGUCGCACACC
rnacentral:rRNA from 1 species